GCGUGGAUAGUUUAGUGGUAGAAUAACUGGCUUCCAACCAGUUGACCAGGGUUCGAGUCCCUGUCUGCGCA
rnacentral:tRNA from 1 species